GCCUACGCUUUCGAGAUAGGCGAUGGGUCCCUAAUUCAGAACCCUUACGAACACGGAUCAUGCAGGAUAUCCACGACUCGCCGAUGACUGGGCACCCAGGGCGUGAGAUCAUGUACAGCAUCAUCGCCCGAGGAUUCUACUGGCCGGAUAUGUCGAAGGAUGUACGCCGGUUUGUACGCAAUUGCGACCGCUGCGGCUCAGUAACAGCAUAGCGUGAGCGCCGAAAAGGAAUGCUAAAACCCCUGCCUGUCCCCGAACGAACUUGGCGCGAUAUAGCUAUCGACUUCGCAGUUUCCUUACCUGAGAGCGGUGGUUCUACGAAUGUCCUAGUCAUUGUCGAUCGCCUCAGCAAGGGCGUGAUACUGCAGCCCUGUGACAAGAUGGAUGCUGAAGUCGUUGCGGACGCCUUCGUCAGGAGCCCAUUCUAUCGCAUGCACGGCCUACCUUCGUCCAUUGUAUCAGAUAGAGGCAGUCAGUUCGUGAGCGCACUUUGGACCCGCGUAUGCCAGCUACUGAGAAUCGAGCGAAAGUUGUCGACAGCGUACCACCCAGAGACCGAUGGAGCCACUGAGAGGAUGAUACAGACAGUUAAGAACAUCCUCCGAAAGUUCUGCAACUACGCACAAGAUGACUGGAGCGACCUGCUGCCGCAUGCUGAGAUUGCCAUAAACGGCCGAGAUUCUGCUACGACAGGUGUAAGCCCGUUCUUCCUUCUACACGGUUAUGAUUUAGAGAUUCUGGACUUCCCUGAGACCCCCCGAGAAACCACGUACGCCCGCAGUCCCGUACAGGCGGCAGAGAACAUAGUCAGCAAGCUCAAGAAAGCCCGCGAGUGGGCCGAAGCUUCGAUGGCCAGUGCUCAACAAGACUAUGAGGACCAAGCGAACACCAGAAGGAGUCCUGCGACCCGUUACAGCAUAGG
rnacentral:sRNA from 2 species